CUACGGGAGGCAGCAGUGGGGAAUAUUGGACAAUGGGCGCAAGCCUGAUCCAGCAAUGCCGCGUGGGUGAAGAAGGUCUUCGGAUUGUAAAGCCCUUUCGGCGGGGACGAUGAUGACGGUACCCGCAGAGGAAGCCCCGGCUAACUUCGUGCCAGCAGCCGCGGUAAUACGAAGGGGGCUAGCGUUGCUCGGAAUUACUGGGCGUAAAGGGCGCGUAGGCGGCGCUGCAAGUCAGGCGUGAAAUUCCUGGGCUUAACCUGGGGGCUGCGCUUGAGACUGUGGUGCUAGAGGUCAGAAGAGGCUCGUGGAAUUCCCAGUGUAGAGGUGAAAUUCGUAGAUAUUGGGAAGAACACCGGUGGCGAAGGCGGCGAGCUGGUCUGAUACUGACGCUGAGGCGCGACAGCGUGGGGAGCGAACAGGAUUAGAAACCCGUGUAGUCC
rnacentral:rRNA from 1 species